rnacentral:rRNA from 1 species
GAUGAACGCUGGCGGCGUGCCUAAUACAUGCAAGUCGAGCGAACAGACGAGGAGCUUGCUCCUCUGAUGUUAGCGGCGGACGGGUGAGUAACACGUGGAUAACCUACCUAUAAGACUGGGAUAACUUCGGGAAACCGGAGCUAAUACCGGAUAACAUGUUGAACCGCAUGGUUCAACAGUGAAAGACGGUCUUGCUGUCACUUAUAGAUGGAUCCGCGCCGCAUUAGCUAGUUGGUAAGGUAACGGCUUACCAAGGCAACGAUGCGUAGCCGACCUGAGAGGGUGAUCGGCCACACUGGAACUGAGACACGGUCCAGACUCCUACGGGAGGCAGCAGUAGGGAAUCUUCCGCAAUGGGCGAAAGCCUGACGGAGCAACGCCGCGUGAGUGAAGAAGGUCUUCGGAUCGUAAAACUCUGUUAUUAGGGAAGAACAAAUGUGUAAGUAACUAUGCACGUCUUGACGGUACCUAAUCAGAAAGCCACGGCUAACUACGCG